CACCGCCUGGGGAGUACGACCGCAAGGUUAAAACUCAAAUGAAUUGACGGGGACCCGCACAAGUAGUGGAGCAUGUGGUUUAAUUCGAAGAUACGCGCAGAACCUUACCAACACUUGACAUGUUCGUCGCGACUUUAAGAGAUUAAAGUUUUCGGUUCGGCCGGACGAAACACAGGUGCUGCAUGGCUGUCGUCAGCUCGUGUCGUGAGAUGUUGGGUUAAGUCCCGCAACGAGCGUAACCCUCACUUUUAGUUGCCAUCAUUUAGUUGGGCACUCUGAAAGAACUGCCAGUGAUAAGCUGGAGGAAGGUGGGGAUGACGUCAAGUCCUCAUGGCCCUUACGUGUUGGGCUACACACGUGCUACAAUGGCAUCUACAAUAGGAGGCAAGAUGGCGACAUCAAGCAAAUCCUAAAAAGAUACCUCAGUUCGGAUUGCACUCUGCAACUCGAGUGCAUGAAGCUGGAAUUACUAGUAAUCGUGGAUCAGCGUGCCACGGUGAAUGCGUUCCCGGGUCUUGUACACACCGCCCGUCACACCAUGGGAGUUGGUUCUACCUUAAGGCAAGGUUUCAAACCCUUGACCACGGUAUAGUCAGCGACUGGGGUGAAGUCGUAACAAGGUAGCCGUAGGGGAACCUGCGGCUGGAUUACCUCCUUUCUAAGGAUGAAUGAAAUUAAAAUUUCAUUCUAAAUAAUAUACAGGUAAUGUUGACCGUCCUCAUUUCUCUUCUUAAAUUAGUGUUUCUCUUGCAUGGGGGCCGGUAGCUCAGUUGGUUAGAGCACACCCUUGAUAAGGGUGGGGUCGAAAGUUCGAGUCUUUCUCGGCCCACCAAUUAAAGAUCAUGGGGGAUUAGCUCAGCUGGGAGAGCGCCUGAUUUGCAUUCAGGAGGUCAGCGGUUCGAUCCCGCUAUCCUCCACCAAAAUACUUAGUUAUAAAAAAUCGUAAAUAAUUAAUAAUUAAUAUCAAUAUCUAUAUCCGAACAUUAGAAAUGUUAUUAGCUAAUGUUCAAAUAAAAAUUUGAUUCAACACAGAAUUUUUUUCUG
rnacentral:sRNA from 1 species